rnacentral:misc_RNA from 1 species
AAUAAAAUGUUGAAAGUUAGCCAUUACCAACAUAUAUUCACAAAAAGAGUAAAAAACCAAUGAAAUAAAGUAACGGGAUGAAAAGGGCAUUUUUGCCCCUUUCUGAUUCCUGUCGCUGCUGCCCAGGUUUGGACUUUUAAAGUCCAAAAAUUCCCAGUUCUAGUUCCUUAAGGGACUGCUGCUGGUUUAUCGUGGUCUCAACCCAAUUUUCGCUCCUCG